GUGAGGCGGGGUCUGGAUGGAAAGGCGGGGCCCGCUGAAAGAAGGCGACCCGAGUUCUACUUCCUAGUAAGGGACGUCUCUGGAGAGAUCCUGAGGUUUUUGAGCCUCUUUUGCCUACACACCGGCAGUGUCCUUCCCGCACUCAGAGGGCCUCUCUGGAGCCAGUUCCAGGCCACCCAUGGGCCUUGGCCCCGCCCCCUACCCAUGGCUGGCAGAUUCGUGGCCCCACCCAUCUCGAAGCCCCUCGGCCCAGGAACCCAGGGGAAGCUGCUGCCCUAGCAAUCCUGACCCGGACGACAGAUAUUACAAUGGAGCCAAGGGAGGCAAAGUGAAGCUUCUGGGGAAACCUGUGCAGAUGCCCUCUCUGAACUGGCCAGAAGCCCUGCCCCCACCUCCUCCUUCUUGUGAACUGAGCUGCCUAGAGGGGCCGGAGGAGGAGCUGGAGGGCAGCUCAGAGCCAGAGGAGUGGUGCCCGCCAAUGCCUGAGAGAAGUCACCUGAUGGAACCCAGCUCCAGUGGGGGGUGCCCGGUCACUCCAUCCCUAAGGGAAACCCCCUCUCCCACGCCUUCCUAUGGACAG
rnacentral:sRNA from 1 species